UGUCUUUACAUGGAAAGGUGACAAUUUACAUUAUGGAACAGCAUCUGAGCGUGACUUAACCAUUUAUAAUGUACUCUAGGAAGAAUGGAUAGGUGUAUGUGUGUGUGUGUGUGAAAUGCAUCCGCCGUUGUCGUUUCAAUCCGUAAGCCAUUUCACACAUAAUCUAUCGGCAUGGUUGGUGAGUGUGUGUGGGGUAGAUGAAUUGACGUCGGAUGAA
ensembl:ncRNA C36F7.18 ncRNA